UGGAUGAGCCCGCGGCCUAUCAGCUUGUUGGUGAGGUAACGGCUCACCAAGGCUUCGACGGGUAGCCGGCCUGAGAGGGUGACCGGCCACACUGGGACUGAGACACGGCCCAGACUCCUACGGGAGGCAGCAGUGGGGAAUAUUGGACAAUGGGCGAAAGCCUGAUCCAGCAACGCCGCGUGAGGGAUGACGGCCUUCGGGUUGUAAACCUCUUUCAGCAGGGACGAAGCGAAAGUGACGGUACCUGCAGAAGAAGCACCGGCCAACUACGUGCCAGCAGCCGCGGCCG
rnacentral:rRNA from 1 species